AUUGAACGCUGGCGGCGUGCCUAACACAUGCAAGUCGAGCGGUAACGCGGGAGCAAUCCUGGCGACGAGCUGCGAACGGGUGAGUAAUGCUUCGGAAUCUGCCCAAUGGUGGGGAAUAACCAGCCGAAAGGUUGGCUAAUACCGCAUACGUCCUACGGGAGAAAGCAGGGGAUCGCAAGACCCUGCGCCGAUGGAUGAGCCGAAGUCGGAUUAGCUAGUUGGUAGGGUAACGGCCUACCAAGGCGACAAUCCGUAGCUGGUCUGAGAGGACGAACAGCCACACUGGGACUGGGACACGGCCCAGACUCCUACGGGAGGCAGCAGUGGGGAAUAUUGGACAAUGGGGGCAACCCUGAUCCAGCGACGCCGCGUGUGUGAAGAAGGCCUGCGGGUUGUAAAGCACUUUUAGUGGGGAUGAAAAGCCGAAGGCUAAUACCUUUCGGUCUUGACCUAACCCACAGAAAAAGCACCGGCUAACUCUGUGCCAGCCGCCGCUGUAAAAC
rnacentral:rRNA from 1 species